rnacentral:rRNA from 1 species
GAUGAACGCUAGCUACAGGCUUAACACAUGCAAGUCGAGGGGUAGCAGGGUAGCAAUACCGCUGACGACCGGCGCACGGGUGAGUAACACGUAUCCAACCUUCCCAUAACUCGGGGAUAGCCUUUCGAAAGAAAGAUUAAUACCCGAUAGUACUUUUUCAAGGCAUCUUGAGAAAGUUAAAGAUUUAUUGGUUAUGGAUGGGGAUGCGUUCCAUUAGAUAGUUGGUGAGGUAACGGCUCACCAAGCCUUCGAUGGAUAGGGGUUCUGAGAGGAAGGUCCCCCACAUUGGUACUGAGACACGGACCAAACUCCUACGGGAGGCAGCAGUGAGGAAUAUUGGUCAAUGGGCGAGAGCCUGAACCAGCCAAGUAGCGUGAAGGAUGAAGGUCCUAUGGAUUGUAAACUUCUUUUAUACAGGAAUAAAGUUAGCCACGUGUGGUUAUUUGUAGGUACUGUAUGAAUAAGGACCGGCUAAUUCCGUGCCAGCCGCCGCGGUAA